rnacentral:ncRNA from 2 species
UCUGACCUUCGGGGCAGGGUGAGGCGCAAGCCAAUUCCCGAUCGGUGGUGAAGCGGCCGCACAGAUACGCCAGCGACCUUGGCGUGGUGCGGACGCUAGCCCACGAGCCAUGAGUGCACGAUGUGGUUGACCCGGUGUCAUCCCGGGGCCGACGGUAAAGUCCGGAUGGGAGAAGGUUGUG